rnacentral:rRNA from 1 species
GACGAACGCUGGCGGCGUGCUUAACACAUGCAAGUCGAACGGAAAGGCCCUGCUUUUGUGGGGUGCUCGAGUGGCGAACGGGUGAGUAACACGUGAGUAACCUGCCCUUGACUUUGGGAUAACUUCAGGAAACUGGGGCUAAUACCGGAUAGGAGCUCCUGCUGCAUGGGGGGGGUUGGAAAGUUUCGGCGGUUGGGGAUGGACUCGCGGCUUAUCAGCUUGUUGGUGGGGUAGUGGCUUACCAAGGCUUUGACGGGUAGCCGGCCUGAGAGGGUGACCGGCCACAUUGGGACUGAGAUACGGCCCAGACUCCUACGGGAGGCAGCAGUGGGGAAUAUUGCACAAUGGGCGGAAGCCUGAUGCAGAAACGCCGCGUGCGGGAUGACGGCCUUCGGGUUGUAAACCGCUUUCGCCUGUGACGAAGCGUGAGUGACGGUAAUGGGUAAAGAAGCACCGGCUAACUACGUG